rnacentral:rRNA from 1 species
UACGGGGGGGGCAAGCGUUGUUCGGAAUUACUGGGCGGAAAGGGCUCGUAGGCGGCCAACUAAGUCGGAUGUGAAAUCCCCAGGCUUAACCUGGGAAUUGCAUCCGAUACUGGAUGGCUUGAAUCCGGGAGAGGGAUGCGGAAUUCCAGGUGUAGCGGUGAAAUGCGUAGAUAUCUGGAGGAACACCGGUGGCGAAGGCGGCAUCCUGGACCGGCAUUGACGCUGAGGAGCGAAAGCCAGGGGAGCAAACGGG